GUGGGGAAUUUUGGACAAUGGGCGCAAGCCUGAUCCAGCAAUGCCGCGUGCAGGAAGAAGGCCUUCGGGUUGUAAACUGCUUUUGUACGGAACGAAACGGUCCUGGUUAAUACCUGGGGCUAAUGACGGUACCGUAAGAAUAAGCACCGGCUAACUACGUGCCAGCAGCCGCGGUAAUACGUAGGGUGCGAGCGUUAAUCGGAAUUACUGGGCGUAAAGCGUGCGCAGGCGGUGCUGUAAGACAGGCGUGAAAUCCCCGGGCUCAACCUGGGAAUUGCGGUUGUGACUGCAGUGCUGGAGUACGGCAGAGGGGGAUGGAAUUCCGCGUGUAGCAGUGAAAUGCGUAGAUAUGCGGAGGAACACCGAUGGCGAAGGCAGUCCCCUGGGCCUGUACUGACGCUCAUGCACGAAAGCGUGGGGAGCAAACAGGAUUAGAUACCCCAGUAGUCC
rnacentral:rRNA from 1 species